GAUUCAUAUAGACUCUGUAAACCAAACUGAGAGAUGUUGAUCCAUGUGAACGACGAACGACGGCUGCUUCCUGACAUGUAUAUUAGUAUAUAAAAAUAUAUAGAAAAAACUAUUCAAAGUUAUGAAAAUUAUCUUUGAACGUGGAUAAAAUCAAAAUAUAGGAUUUUAUGUAUUUGAAAUUGCAAAAAAAAAAAAAAAGAUUGACGUGAACAUUUUUUGAAUUUAUUUUAUUUAGUUAUUUUUUUAAACAUUGCUUAUGUGUCAAGAUUCGAUUCGCCACGUGACUUUGUAGUUUGGUAUAUAAAAGAAUGGUUCCGUGCUACGCACAUUUUAUAACAACUAGAUGAUAACCCGCAUGCAUGCGCGGAGUGAGUGGUUUAUACUAAGUUUGUUCAUUAAAUGGUUUUAACAUUUUGC
rnacentral:lncRNA from 1 species